rnacentral:rRNA from 1 species
UAGGGAAUAUUGGGCAAUGGAGGCAACUCUGACCCAGCCAUGCCGCGUGCAGGAAGACGGUCCUCUGGAUUGUAAACUGCUUUUGAAUGGGAAGAACAUACGAUUUGCGAAUUGUACUGACGGUACCAUUAGAAUAAGCACCGGCUAACUCCGUGCCUGCAGCCGCGGUAAUACGGAGGGUGCACGCGUUAUCCGGGUUUAUUGGGGUUAAAGGGUGCGUAGGCGGCCUUAUAAGUCGGUGGUUAAAGGUAGCCGCGUAACGGUUUUACAUGCCAUCGAUACUGUAGGGCUUGAGUGAUUUGGAGGGAGCUAGAAUUCCCUGUGUAGCGGUGAAAUGCAUAGAUACGGGGAGGAAUACCGAUUGCGAAGGCAUGAUACUACGAAUUAACUGACGCUGAGGCACGAAAG